UGAAGAAGACUGGGUAGAAAGGCCUUCGAGUUCCUGUAGAGAUAAAAAAGCAGGGAAAGACUCCAGGUAGAAAAAUCUGGAAGUAGCUCCUCAAAAGAGAGCAGGGAGUGACCCAAAGGAGCCCAGGGUGAGCUGAGGAGAGGCUGAGCAGAUCCAAGCCUGGGAAGGGCUGAAAAGCUGAGUCCAGCUUGGAAACUUACAGACCUCAGGGAGGAAGGGCAUGCCCGAUGUGAGACUGAGUUCCCAGAUUGGACAGAUGUGAUCCAUAAUGAACAGGAGGAAUUGAAGAAGUCACUGGGGCUCUGAAUAUCACAAAGAGAAGUGGCAGAUCAACAAGCUGAAACCUGAAUAUUUUUACUCAUGAGCAAAAGUGCUUUUACUUGAAAAUUGGACCUGAGCUGUCAGUGCUACAUACUUGGAAUUUGCAUUGAAAUCAGCGGUACUGAUUCUUGAAUGUAAAUGGAAAUUCCAUGAAUAGAGGGACUUUUAUGAUCAGGCUCUUAAUGCUGAAUAUAAAAUAUGCUUCCAGGCUGAGAUUUUCUUGCUAUUUUUAAGGCCCGGGUAAAUGUUUGUCAAGUUACAGC